GAAAUGCGAUAAGUAAUGUGAAUUGCAGAAUUCAGUGAAUCAUCGAAUCUUUGAACGCACCUUGCGCUCCUUGGUAUUCCUUGGAGCAUGCCUGUUUGAGUAUCAUGAAAUCAUCAAAGUAAAUCUUUUGUUAACUCAAUUGGUUUCUACUUUGGUAUUGGAGGUCUUUGCAGCUUCACACCUGCUCCUCUUUGUUCAUUAGCUGGAUCUCAGUGUUAUGCUUGGUUCCACUUGGCGUGAUAAGUUAUCUAUCGCUGAGGACACUGUAAAAGGUGGCCAAGGUAAAUGCAGAUGAACCGCUUCUAAUAGUCCAUUGACUUGGACAAUACUUUUAUGAUCUGAUCUCAAAUCAGGUAGGACUACCCGCUGAACUUAAGC
rnacentral:misc_RNA from 1 species